ensembl:lncRNA
CCCGCCCCCCCCCGCCCCGCCGCCGCCGCCCCCCCGGGCCAUGCAGUCGCUCAUCUCGCCGGUGACCAAGGCGAUCCUGGUGGCUCUGUUCAUCUUCGCCAUCCUCCUCAUCCUGUACGUGAUCCUCUGGUACAUCUGCCGCGAUGUGGACUGCGACCACGGCAUCUGAGCGCCGCGGGCCCCGGGGACCACCGCGCUGAGGACGCCCCCCGCGCCGGGCAUGGGGGCUGGGCGGCCCGGCGGCGCUCCCCACCCCCUGCCCCGGGCCCCACCGCGCGCUCGCCGCCGCCCCCUGGCCUUGACCUUCAGGGACGCACCGGGGAGAGCGGGUAGGGUUCCCAAAGGGGCGGACAACUCUGGCCGCUGUGCAGCCCUCCGUUGACCUGUUGUCCAGGGGCAAGGCGAGACGUUGUGAGAACAUCCCGUCCGUGGACCACCGCACGGCCAGGACUCCAAUGUGGAGGGUCGGAUCCCUGGAGGUCACUGCUCGGCCCUUCUCUGGAGACCGCCGACCAGCAUGCCAUCCCAGCUGCAUUGUGGGGGUGAAGGGUGGGGUGACCACCACCGAGGAUUGAGGCCACCCCUCCGUCUCUCAUCUUGCCAAGCCAUCACCAGGCGGUCAGGACUCCUGGGCAGUGUCGCCUCCGGGGCCAUGCUGGCGUCUGUAACCUCCAUCCACCGCCGUGGUCCCAUCCAGCCAUCCCUGCCCCGCCCGCCUGGCCCGCCCGCUCUGAUCGUGACGUCUCCAUCGGCCUUUCCCUUGUGCGUAGUCGUCACUCACAGGGGUUCCAACGCCCGCGGGGGCGGCCCAGCGGGACCGUUGACUCUCCUUCCCGGCUCGAGGAGUCCAGAGGACACUCGGCUUCAGAUUAUCCCCUCGUUGAGGUAGGUACGAAUGGGACCUGACCCGCUUAAUCUCAGACGCAGCCGUGCCGUAAAACUCAUGCAAACCACGCCCAGUGCUUCCUGGCUUCCUCCCGUGGGCAGAGCAGACGCUCACGGGGGACGAGACACGAGGGGCUCCCCCAUCAUUCUUGCUGGCCACUCACCACCCCCGCCCCCCGCCCACCCCGGGGUGAUUUUAUCGGUCUGUCGCCAGGAGAAGACACCGUGUCCUGGGAGAAAUAACCCACCCAACACAGACUAGGGACUUUGCACGUGGAACACGAGAGCUCUGGAAAGUUCUAGAAACGCAGCCAGCGUUCGUCACCUCGGAACUCUGAAACGAUGCCUCGGGCGCUUUGCCACUUGCACCUCGGGGUGACAGUCGCCUUGCGGGUCCGGCAGCCGCCCAGGACUUUGUGCUGUGUUUUUUUCCGCCGCCUUGUUUAAAAAUCGGGCGGGAUGGGGAUGGCAUCUCCCGUGGGCCCCGCGGUGUGGGGCGUGGACGUCUCGACGAAUGUCCUCGGCAGUGGUGCAGUCCAGCAACGUCCACCCUCCCGCCCCGGUCCUGUCCACCCACACCCUGGGGAGCCUUUUUCUACAUUGUCCUAAACCCUGCCAUCAUUCCGUUGCGCAGGUGUGACGUGUGGCGCCCCGGUGUUGUCGCGUCAUAGCUUCUGCCUCCCCACCCACCACCCCACCCAACCCCACCCCGUGGAGGCAGGCAAUCGAGACCAAGCUGAGACAUUAAUGGCUAUUCCAGAAAAUAAAAUAUUUUUGAAACCGCC